UGGAGGGCAAGUCUGGUGCCAGCAGCCGCGGUAAUUCCAGCUCCAAUAGCGUAUAUUAAAGUUGUUGUGGUUAAAAAGCUCGUAGUUGAACCUUGGGCCUGGCUGGCCGGUCCGCCUCACCGCGUGUACUGGUCCGGCCGGGCCUUUCCCUCUGUGGAACCCCAUGCCCUUCACCGGGUGUGGCGGGGAAACAGGACUUUUACUUUGAAAAAAUUAGAGUGCUCCAGGCAGGCCUAUGCUCGAAUACAUUAGCAUGGAAUAAUAGAAUAGGACGUGUGGUUCUAUUUUGUUGGUUUCUAGGACCGCCGUAAUGAUUAAUAGGGACAGUCGGGGGCAUCAGUAUUCAAUUGUCAGAGGUGAAAUUCUUGGAUUUAUUGAAGACUAACUACUGCGAAAGCAUUUGCCAAGGAUGUUUCCAUUAAUCAGGAACGAAAGUUAGGGGAUCGAAGACGAUCAGAUACCGUCGUAGUCUUAACCAUAAACUAUGCCGACUAGGGAUCGGACGAUGUUAUUUUUUGACUCGUUUGGCACCUUACGGGAAAC
rnacentral:rRNA from 1 species